rnacentral:lncRNA from 1 species
ACGCAUUUCGACUAAAUAAUUUUUCAAUUAUAUAGAAAUGAGAAGAUCGACCGAGCGUAGAAGAGUCAUUUUGCUUAGCCAUAAAAUGCUUACCCGUCAAUAACUACGUUAUUGAGCCACCGCCUCUUUUCUUCUUCUUUUCUUACCUAUUUUUCAGAUCUAUUCGCUCUUCUCAGCUGUGGUGGUAAAUUUUUAGAUUAGCUACUCUUUUGAGUUUUGCCCAAAUCUUCCUAUUUGUUUUUGAAUCUGUAUGAACUUUUGUAGUUCUUUUAAAAAUCUUAUAGUAUGAAUUUUCGUAGAAAGCAAUGGUGGACUUCUCAUUAUGGGUUAGAAAAACGAAUUUUCAACUAAAUCUGACCUCAUUUUUCCCUCAAUCUGUCAAAUUCUCUAUCUUUAUCAUAUUUGACUUAUAAUUUCGUCUUUUUAAAAAAAAAGUUUUCAUCGGAUUUUUUUGGGAUUUUAAAAUAAGGCAUGAGGGAGAAAAACUCCCUCAAUUUGUUGGAUGUUCCAUCUGUUCAAGUGAAUACAAUCUAAUCUUCAAUUGACUUUAAUGGGAGAACUGCAAUUUACUAUAAAGAGACUUAUUUGCUCUGGUUAUAAGAAGUUAUAGUGACAAUUUAUUUUUGUUUCAGCACCGGCCUUCCCGAUAUUCAAUUUCUUAUGAGAGGCAUAUUCAGAGGGUAAUGAUUUUAUUUACUUCAAUAAUAUUACAUUAUUAGCUUAGGAUUAACAUUGUGUUUAGAAAGAUUAAAACACAUCCACUUUGUAC